rnacentral:rRNA from 1 species
AGAGUUUGAUCCUGGCUCAGGACGAACGCUGGCGGCGUGCCUAACACAUGCAAGUCGAGCGAGGUGUUUACACCUAGCGGCGGACGGGUGAGUAACACGUGGGUAACCUGCCUCAUAGAGGGGAAUAGCCUUCCGAAAGGGAGAUUAAUACCGCAUAAUAUACACUGAUAGCAUUAAUGGUGUAUCAAAGGAGAAAUCCGCUAUGAGAUGGGCCCGCGGCGCAUUAGCUAGUUGGAGGGGUAACGGCCCACCAAGGCGACGAUGCGUAGCCGACCUGAGAGGGUGAUCGGCCACAUUGGAACUGAGACACGGUCCAGACUCCUACGGGAGGCAGCAGUGGGGAAUAUUGCACAAUGGGGGAAACCCUGAUGCAGCAACGCCGCGUGAACGAAGACGGCCUUCGGGUUGUAAAGUUCUUUGAUUGGGGAAGAAAAUGACGGUACCCAAAAAACAAGCCACGGCUAACUACGUGCCAGCAGCCGCGGUAA